rnacentral:rRNA from 1 species
UACGAAGGGGGCUAGCGUUGCUCGGAAUGACUGGGCGUAAAGGGCGCGUAGGCGGCGGUCACAGCCAGAUGUGAAAUUCCUGGGCUUAACCUGGGGGCUGCAUUUGAUACGUGGUUGCUUGAGUGGGGAAGAGGGUCGUGGAAUUCCCAGUGUAGAGGUGAAAUUCGUAGAUAUUGGGAAGAACACCGGUGGCGAAGGCGGCGACCUGGUCCUUGACUGACGCUGAGGCGCGAAAGCGUGGGGAGCAAACAGG